rnacentral:lncRNA from 1 species
UAUAAAUCAAAUAUAUUAAAUAAUAUUUUAUUGUAAAUUAGUAUUUGGAUAAUAUAUUACCUAAAGUCUAAAGUACGUAUAUUUUAAAACAACAUAAUAGCUUCUUCAAAAAGAGAAAAAGAAUGCAAGCCCAUUUUCUAAGUGUUCAAAAUCAAACAACACUAAAAGAACCAGUCAGAAUGAGCUGGCCCUUCUCUAAAAGCCAUGGAACAUAAAUUACUUUAACAUAUUGUGCAAAGGCAUUGUCCUGCACUAGCUCCCAUAGUCUACCUUAGAGAGAAGCUUCUGCUCAGUCAUACAUUACAGAAGAAGAAGUGUUCCAUAGCUGCUGGUUGUUAGCAGUUUAUUGUGCACUGAGAAGAACGCUGGGAGCGGCUCGGACAGUCCCUCAGCAGUCCCGGCGAAGUUACGGGAAGGGCCUCUGGGAUAGCUGUUUACUGCGCACAGGAUGAAUAAAUCAAGAUAAGAAAGCCAAGGCCCAGAGAAAUUAAGUGAUUUCUCUAGGAUUCACAGGCAGGAAUUGUCAAGGAAAAAAACCCACUAGGCAUGGGGCCGGCCCCGUGGCUGAGUGGUUAAGUUCGCGUGCUCUGCUUUGGUGGCCCAGGGUUUUGCUGGUUCAGAUCCUGGGCACGGACAUGACACUGUUCAUCAAGCCACGAUGAGGUGGCAUCCCACAUGCCACAACUAGAAGGACCCACAACUAAAAAUACACAAAAUUUGGGAAGGCUUCCCUGAGGAAGUGAUCUUUGACCUGAAAUCUAAAGAGUGAAUGAAGUGGACAAAAAGAGGUGGACAGAGGAAGAGCAAACCAGGCAGAAAGAAUAUCACAUACAAAUACUCUUAUUUGGAGAAAAGGAACACGGCAUGUACUAGGUAGGAACUGAUGUUCUUGUCAAAUAAUGAAAUAUAAAGUAAGUUUCUUGAAAAGUUAAGGGUAGGAUCCAAAAUGGAGCAAAUGCUCAGUGGGAUAUUUUUAAUAAUGUAAAAUUUGAAACAUUCUGUUGUUGGCCAACAGUG